rnacentral:rRNA from 1 species
GACGAACGCUGGCGGCGUGCUUAACACAUGCAAGUCGAACGGAAAGGCCCUGCUUGCAGGGUGCUCGAGUGGCGAACGGGUGAGUAACGCGUGGGUGAUCUGCCCCUUACUUUGGGAUAAGCCUGGGAAACUGGGUCUAAUACUGGAUAGGACCAUGCUGUAGGUGGUGUGGUGGAAAGAUUAGUUUCGGUAAGGGAUGAGCUCGCGGCCUAUCAGCUUGUUGGUGGGGUAAUGGCCUACCAAGGCGUCGACGGGUAGCCGGCCUGAGAGGGUGGACGGCCACAUUGGGACUGAGAUACGGCCCAGACUCCUACGGGAGGCAGCAGAGGGGAAUAGUGCACAAUGGGCGCAAGCCUGAUGCAGCGACGCCGCGUGGGGGAUGACGGCCUUCGGGUUGUAAACUCCUUUCAGCCAUGACGAAGCCCUUGUGGUGACGGUAGUGGUAGAAGAAGCACCGGCUAACUACGUG